rnacentral:rRNA from 1 species
GUGAACGCUGGCGGUAGGCCUAACACCUGCAAGUCGAACGGCAGCACCGUAAGAGCUUGCUCUUACGGGUGGCGAGUGGCGGACGGGUGAGGAAUACAUCGGAAUCUACUUUUUCGUGGGGGAUAACGUAGGGAAACUUACGCUAAUACCGCAUACGACCUACGGGUGAAAGCAGGGGAUCUUCGGACCUUGCGCGAUUGAAUGAGCCGAUGUCGGAUUAGCUAGUUGGCGGGGUAAAGGCCCACCAAGGCGACGAUCCGUAGCUGGUCUGAGAGGAUGAUCAGCCACACUGGAACUGAGACACGGCCCAGACUCCUACGGGAGGCAGCAGUGGGGAAUAUUGGACAAUGGGCGCAAGCCUGAUCCAGCCAUACCGCGUGGGUGAAGAAGGCCUUCGGGUUGUAAAGCCCUUUUGUUGGGAAAGAAAAGCAGCAGGUUAAUACCCCGCUGUUCUGACGGUACCCAAAGAAUAAGCACCGGCUAACUUCGUG